UGAGGAAUAUUGGGCAAUGCCCGCAAGGGUGACCCAGCAACGCCGCGUGGAGGAUGAAUGUCGUAAGAUUGUAAACUCCUGUUAGAGGGGAAGAAUAGUACCGGUUGGACCGGUAUGUGACUGUACCCUCAGAGAAAGCCCCGGCUAACUACGUGCCAGCAGCCGCGGUAAUACGUAGGGGGCAAGCGUUGUCCGGAUUUACUGGGUGUAAAGGGCGCGCAGGCGGGAUAAAAAGUCAGUGGUGAAAUCCUACAGCUUAACUGUAGAACGUCCUUUGAUACUUUUAUUCUUGAGUUCGGGAGAGAGAGACGGAAUUCCAGGUGUAGUGGUGAAAUACGUAGAUAUCUGGAAGAACACCAGUUGCGAAGGCGGUCUCUUGGUCCGACACUGACGCUGAGGCGCGAAAGCGUGGGGAGCAAACA
rnacentral:rRNA from 1 species